rnacentral:rRNA from 1 species
AUUGAACGCUGGCGGCAUGCUUUACACAUGCAAGUCGAACGGUAACAGGUUAAGCUGACGAGUGGCGAACGGGUGAGUAAUGCAUCGGAACGUGCCCGAUCGUGGGGGAUAACGCAGCGAAAGCUGCGCUAAUACCGCAUACGAUCUAAGGAUGAAAGAGGGGGACGGUAAGGCCGCGCGCGAUCGGAGUGGCAGAUGUCAGAUUAGGUAGUUGGUGGGGUAAAGGCUCACCAAGCCAACGAUCUGUAGCUGGUCUGAGAGGACGACCAGCCACACUGGGACUGGGACACGGCCCAGACUCCUACGGGAGGCAGCAGUGGGGAAUUUUGGACAAUGGGCGAAAGCCUGAUCCAGCAAUGCCGCGUGCAGGAAGAAGGCCUUCGGGUUGUAAACUGCUUUUGUACGGAGCGAAAAGGCUCUCUCUAAUACAGGGGGCUCAUGACGGUACCGUAAGAAUAAGCACCGGCUAACUACGUGCCAGCAGCCGCCGUAA